rfam:Parcubacteria bacterium GW2011_GWA1_48_11b TY24_C0037, whole genome shotgun sequence.
UACCGGUGUUUUAGCUAGACGUGCACCACCUCUUCCCAUUCCGAACAGAGAAGUGAAACCGUCUAGUCCCGAUGAUACUUGCUGCUUCGGCGGUCGGGAAAGUAGGGUACGCCGGUAU